CAUCCGGUCGAUCCUGCCGGAGCGCGACGCUCCCCCCAAGGACGAGGCCAUGCAUGCCCGCUCACCCGGGACGCGGCGGACGGCUCAGGACAACAGUUGCACCCCCCGCGGCGGUCCCUGCUAGCCGGACACUGCUGGCAACCCGGCGCCAAGACGCGCGCGCAAGGGCGGGCGCCCGCGGGCGAGCAGCGUGACGCAGCGACGGCCCGCCCGGGCUUCCGGGGCAUCACCCGGUCGGCGCGGUCGCGGCGCGCCGAGGGCCCGACGCCUGGCGGAGAAUCAGGGUUCGACU
rnacentral:rRNA from 1 species